UAGGAGCUUAGUAACCUGGUAAAAUAGCUUCACUUGGCGUUUCAUAACGUUUCGUAUAAUCAUUUCUCCAGCCACAGUCUAAAAUUCGUAGUGAGCAAAUAAGCUUAAAAAAAAAGCAAUCAAAAAUUUAAUAAAACAUCCUUUGUACAUUUUACAUAGUUCUUUCUUGUUUUUUUUUGUUUUUUUUUUUACAAAUUUUUUCCUAUGGACCUUUUGCCAAAAUUGUCGGGCAAGAUAGAUAAUGAUAGCGUCGAGAGCAUGCGUUGUCAACGGAGGCAAAUCACUCACAGCGGGUUUCUUAACUUUUUGACCGAAUUCCGGGAACUGCGCCCCGAUCUGUGGGGCAAAGAAGCGAUCUCUUUUGCCGUCAAGAUAUGGCACACGCUCCAACCAGCCGAGCGAAACGUUUUCACCGAGCAGGGCGCGUGUAGAUAUCAGCACAUUGCCAACUGGAUAAAUAAAGCCAAUUGUUCGCUGGCCAAUCGCAACGAUGACUUUUAAAACUUUAUAGCUGUACGACAAUUCAGAAGUUCGAUGCAUAUUGAAAGCUAUUCAUGGAUCAAACGCUAUAAUUGUGAUAUUUUUAUGUAGUUUGAAGUGAAGCUAAAUACAUACAUCAAUUUCGCGCCGA